rnacentral:lncRNA from 1 species
UGGAGAGCUCUAUCUGAAAACCAACUUUAAGCCUGCCAAACACACCAAGUGCCUUUCCAGGAAGCCUGCAGAAGAGCAGUACUGUGAAUAAGAAUCUGGAUGUUACCACAGAUAUAGCAUGACAAAAAGGAUGACAGUAAGUCUCAAGGUUUUCAGCUACCACUAUGCAGAACUUGAAGGAAGACUCUCAGAAGGCUGUCAACACCAUCUUAGAACCAUCCAGAAAGUCAGUUCUUUGGGGUGUCACAGGAUGCUUCUAAAGAAGCUGGAACUGGACUAGGAGUAAGCUCAUCAUGUCAGGCCCAAAUGUUCCAUUUGUGGACAGAAAACCUGCCAUUCCCCAAAGGUGAAAGGAUCCACGAGUAUCUUUUUCCGUCUGCUUUGUGAGAAGUCGCUUCUUGGAAAACUUGGAAGGAA